GUGAGACAACAACAUGAGGGUAGGGUUAACAUAGCUAGGUGAGACAACAUGAGGGAAGGGUUAACAUAGCUAGGUGAGACAACAUGAGGGAAGGGUUAACAUAGCUAGGUGAGACAACAACAUGAGGGAAGGGUUAACAUAGCUAGGUGAGACAACAUGAGGGAAGGGUUAACAUAGCUAGGUGAGACAACAUGAGGGAAGGGUUAACAUAGCUAGGUGAGACAACAUGAGGGAAGGGUUAACAUAGCUAGGUGAGACAACAACAUGAGGGAAGGGUUAACAUAGCUAGGUGAGACAACAACAUGAGGGAAGGGUUAACAUAGCUAGGUGAGACAACAUGAGGGAAGGGUUAACAUAGCUAGGUGAGACAACAUGAGGGAAGGGUUAACAUAGCUAGGUGAGACAACAACAUGAGGGAAGGG